rnacentral:rRNA from 1 species
GCAAGUCGAACGGUAACAGGAAAUAGCUUGCUAUUUUGCUGACGAGUGGCGCACGGGUGCGUAACGCGUAUACAAUCUACCUUUUGCUGAGGGAUAGCCCAGAGAAAUUUGGAUUAAUACCUCAUGGUAUUAUUGAUAGGCAUCUAUUAAUAAUUAAAGGUUACGGCAAAAGAUGAGUAUGCGUCCCAUUAGCUAGUUGGCGAGGUAACGGCGCACCAAGGCAGCGAUGGGGAGGGGGCCUGAGAGGGAGAGC